rnacentral:rRNA from 1 species
UACGUAGGCAGCAAGCGUUGUUCGGAGUUACUGGGCGUAAAGGGUGCGUAGGCGGUUGUUUUAAGUUUGGUGUGAAAUCUCCCGGCUCAACUGGGAGGGUGCGCCGAAUACUGAAUGACUAGAGUGCGGGAGAGGAUAGUGGAAUUCCUGGUGUAGCGGUGAAAUGCGUAGAUAUCAGGAGGAACACCGGUGGUGGUAGACGGGCUAUC